GGAAAGGCGCGCGAUACAGGGUGACAGCCCCGUACACAAAAAUGCACAUGCUGUGAGCUCGAUGAGUAGGGCGGGACACGUGGUAUCCUGUCUGAAUAUGGGGGGACCAUCCUCCAAGGCUAAAUACUCCUGACUGACCGAUAGUGAACCAGUACCGUGAGGGAAAGGCGAAAAGAACCCCGGCGAGGGGAGUGAAAAAGAACCUGAAACCGUGUACGUACAAGCAGUGGGAGCACGCUUAGGCGUGUGACUGCGUACCUUUUGUAUAAUGGGUCAGCGACUUAUAUUCUGUAGCAAGGUUAACCGAAUAGGGGAGCCGAAGGGAAACCGAGUCUUAACUGGGCGUUAAGUUGCAGGGUAUAGACCCGAAACCCGGUGAUCUAGCCAUGGGCAGGUUGAAGGUUGGGUAACACUAACUGGAGGACCGAACCGACUAAUGUUGAAAAAUUAGCGGAUGACUUGUGGCUGGGGGUGAAAGGCCAAUCAAACCGGGAGAUAGCUGGUUCUCCCCGAAAGCUAUUUAGGUAGCGCCUCGUGAAUUCAUCUCCGGGGGUAGAGCACUGUUUCGGCAAGGGGGUCAUCCCGACUUACCAACCCGAUGCAAACUGCGAAUACCGGAGAAUGUUAUCACGGGAGACACACGGCGGGUGCUAACGUCCGUCGUGAAGAGGGAAACAACCCAGACCGCCAGCUAAGGUCCCAAAGUCAUGGUUAAGUGGGAAACGAUGUGGGAAGGCCCAGACAGCCAGGAUGUUGGCUUAGAAGCAGCCAUCAUUUAAAGAAAGCGUAAUAGCUCACUGGUCGAGUCGGCCUGCGCGGAAGAUGUAACGGGGCUAAACCAUGCACCGAAGCUGCGGCAGCGACGCUGAUGCGUUGUUGGGUAGGGGAGCGUUCUGUAAGCCU
rnacentral:rRNA from 1 species